GAUGAACGCUAGCGGCAGGCCUAAUACAUGCAAGUCGAACGGUGUAGCAAUACACAGUGGCGCACGGGUGCGUAACACGUAUGCAACCUACCUUACAUUGGGGGAUAGCCUUUCGAAAGGGAGAUUAAUACCGCAUAAGACAGUAACUAGGCAUCUAGUAGCUGUUAAAGAUUUAUCGAUGUAAGCUGGGCAUGCGUCCAAUUAGUUAGUUGGCGAGGUAAUGGCUCACCAAGACGAUGAUUGGUAAGGGAACUGAGAGGUCAAUCCCCCACACUGGCACUGAGAUACGGGCCAGACUCCUACGGGAGGCAGCAGUGGGGAAUAUUGGGCAAUGGGCGCAAGCCUGACCCAGCCAUGCCGCGUGCAGGAAGAAGGCGUUAUGCGUUGUAAACUGCUUUUAUACAGGAAGAAACGACCCUUGCGAGGGGCAUUGACGGUACUGUAUGAAUAAGCACCGGCUAACUCCGUGCCAGCAGCCGCCGUAAGAC
rnacentral:rRNA from 1 species